UACGUAGGGUGCGAGCGUUACUCGGAAUUACUGGGCGUAAAGCGUGCGCAGGCGGUUCGUUAUGUCCGAUGUGAAAGCCCCGAGCUCAACUUGGGAAUGGCAUUGGAAACUGGCGGGCUGGAGUGUGGCAGAGGGGGGUGGAAUUCCACGUGUAGCAGUGAAAUGCGUAGAUAUGCGGAGGAACACCGAUGGCGAAGGCAAUCCCCUGGGCCUGCACUGACGCUCAUGCACGAAAGCGUGGGGAGCAAACAGG
rnacentral:rRNA from 1 species